rnacentral:rRNA from 1 species
UACGUAGGGGCGCGAGCGUUUGUCCGGAAUUGAUUAGGGGCGUGAAAGAGGCUCGUAGGCGGUUUGUCGCGUCGGUACGGUGAAAACCCCAAGGCUCAACCUUGGGCUGCAAUCGAUACGGGCAGACUAGAGUACUGCAGGGGAGACUGGAAGUUCCUAGGUGUAGCGGUGGAAUGAGCGUUCGAGAUCGGAAGGGAACGCCCGUGGCGAAAGCGAGGUCCUGGACGC